GACGAACGCUGGCGGCGUGCUUAACACAUGCCAGUCGAACGGAAAGGCCCCAGCUUGCUGGGGUACUCGAGUGGCGAACGGGUGAGUAACACGUGGGUGAUCUGCCCUGCACUCUGGGAUAAGCCUGGGAAACUGGGUCUAAUACCGGAUAGGACCGUGCUUUAGUGUGUGCGGUGGAAAGUUUUUCGGUGCAGGAUGAGCCCGCGGCCUAUCAGCUUGUUGGUGGGGUAAUGGCCUACCAAGGCGGCGACGGGUAGCCGGCCUGAGAGGGUGUACGGCCACAUUGGGACUGAGACACGGCCCAGACUCCUACGGGAGGCAGCAGUGGGGAAUAUUGCACAAUGGGCGCAAGCCUGAUGCAGCGACGCCGCGUGGGGGAUGACGGCCUUCGGGCUGUAAACCCCUUUCGGCAGGGACGAAGCUUUUGUGACGGUACCUGCAGAAGAAGCACCGGCUAACUACGUG
rnacentral:rRNA from 1 species